rnacentral:rRNA from 1 species
CCUACGGGUGGCAGCAGUGGGGGAUAUUGCACAAUGGGGGGAACCCUGAUGCAGCGACGCCGCGUGGGUGAAGGAGUAUUUCGGUAUGUAAAGCCCUAUCGGCAGGGAAGAAAUUGGACGGUACCUGACUAAGAAGCCCCGGCUAACUACGUGCCAGCAGCCGCGGUAAUACGUAGGGGGCAAGCGUUAUCCGGAUUCACUGGGUGUAAAGGGAGCGUAGACGGCCAUGCAAGCCAGGGGUGAAAGCCCGGGGCCCAACCCCGGGACUGCCCUUGGAACUGCAUGGCUGGAGUGCGGGAGGGGCAGGCGGAAUGCCUGGUGUAGCGGUGAAAUGCGUAGAUAUCAGGAGGAACACCGGCGGCGAAGGCGGCCUGCUGGACCGCGACUGACGUUGAGGCUCGAAAGCGUGGGGAGCGAACAGGAUUAGAUAUCCUUGUAGUC